UUCUCCUUUUACACAUUAGGGAGAGGCAAAAUGUUGUAGCUAAUGCCUAUAGGCAGCAAAGUGUAGUUUGGCAUCUGAACUGGGAUGCUUUUAAACCAAACAUUGUGACAGAUCAAAAUGAGGAAAAGCCCUUGGAGGCUUCUGGAAACAAUAGUAAUAGUACUUUAAAUCAUGGAGACUUUACCAUGAUGGGGUUUUUUUAUUUUCCUAAGUAUUUGCAGGAGGGGGGUGUAGCCCUGUUCCAUAUAGUGCUCAAAAUGGCUGUAUUUGCAUGUAUACAAACCAAAUGACCAGAUGUCAAAAACUCUGUGAGAUGUCAUGCAGUAGAGAAUUGGAUCACUUACAUUCUGAGUUCUGAACACUAUUAUGGAGAGCUGACAUGUAAAUAUUUUAAAAUAAGUGAAAUUUCACUUUGAUUCUUAAAUAAUUUGCUGAAAACUAAAGGUUAAAUCCACUUUGUAUACAUUAGAUCUUGUUGGUUUUGUUCAGUUGAAACUCCUAUAAUAUUGAAUGGGAGUUUUGAUAGUGAAAGAACAGCAGAAUUUAGGCCAGGGUGUUAAAAUAUGCUGUAGUUGAGAGUUGUAUGUAUGCACAAUGUCCCUAGAGGCCCGGGACUUCAUUGGUUUGACACAGAGUAGAGUAGAUGUUUGUGCUGCCUUCAUCAUAAUGUGUUUUCCAUGAAGACUGCAUGUAUCAGAAGAAUUUACAUUUAGAUCAAAAUGAAGUAUGGGCAGCUGGUAGCUGCAGUCUGUGAAGACUGAGGAUGCAUUAGAACAUCUGCAGGCCAUACUCUAGUCAGCCCUGAUAGAAGGUAAUAGCUAUAGAAACAAACACUUUUUCAAG